UACGGGGGGCGCAAGCGUUGUUCGGAUUUACUGGGCGUAAAGGGCGCGUAGGCGGCGUGACAAGUCACUUGUGAAAUCUCCGGGCUUAACUCGGAGCGGCCAAGUGAUACUGUCGUGCUAGAGUGCGGAAGGGGCUACUGGAAUUCUCGGUGUAGCGGUGAAAUGCGUAGAUAUCGAGAGGAACACCUGCGGCGAAGGCGGGUAGCUGGGCCGACACUGACGCUGAGGCGCGAAAGCUAGGGGAGCGAACGGG
rnacentral:rRNA from 1 species